UAUCAAUAAAAUGGGGUAAAUUUCAGAAAACAGAAGGCAAUGCUGUAUGGCUGCUGAAUCUUGGAAAGGUCUUUGAAUCCACUAAUUAUGAAUCCGAUAAUGACAGGUGCCAUAUAAACAUAGCCAUCUCUGAACCCACUAUGUGCAGAAGGAUAUAGCAUAGCCCAGGUGUUCCAUGACAGUAACAUGUGUAUAAAUAUGUUACUAGAGGGAACAUUGGCUGACUUCCGGAGGGAUAGCCACCUGGGACCUUGCGGGUUCCAUCAGGCUGGCACUGAGUAGAGGCUUUUUUGCUGUAUUUCUAAUUUUGUGUCACGUAACUCUGUAGCUCCUCUGCUCUAGAUCUAACACUUAUAGUAUGGUUAGCCGUCGGUAGGGGCGAGAGAGAUGGCUUGGAUGGUAAGAAUGUUUGCUGAGCAAACAUGAAGACCUGACUUCAGGUCCUCAGUACCCAGUUAAAGAGCCAUUGGACAUGUUUGCAAACCCAGCACUGUGGGCGGCAGAGAUAAGGAGGCUUUCAAGGGCCUGCAGGCCAUUAGCCCAGUUCCAGGUUUGGUGAGACUGUAUUUCAAAGGAAUAAAGCAGAGAGUGGUACAUCAGGACACCUGACGCAGUCCUCUGGCCUCCUGUUCAGCCACCCUUCAUCCUCCACAGAGAAAGGUGACCUGACUUGUUUGGAGUGACAAAGCAGGCCUACCGAGACGGGACUUCCUGGCGACUACACAGCUAGAGAGCUCCCUGGCCUGCGAGGAGGAACCACGUGGCCACACCCACCGGCCUCGGGGAGGCGUAACCCAAGCGAGUGUCCUGGAUCUGCAGCAGGUUUCACUGGCUACAGCGGAGAACCUGUUCCCCUGGGCCUCAGCUCUGCAGGGGGGAGGAAAUAAAAAUAGCCCAGGAGAGAGGCCAGCGACUGGGCUGUGGACAGCGUGCAUGCCUUUCGCAUUACUCUCUUCGGAUUGCCCUGAGAGGUCCUGGGUGCCAGGCCCUCGGCUGGGCCCCAGGAGGCAAAGCCCAGCAAGCAGGGCCCCGCCUCCUGGGAGAGGCAGAAGCUCGCUCCAGAACCGCAGAGAGAUUUGAGUGAGACCUUUCACCCGCUCCCUCCUCCCAACGUGAAAGCUUCCAGAAGAGUCACGUUGGAGAAAACGGUAGCUAAGCAGAGGUGCCGGGCCUUCCAGGAAGUGGCAAAGGCUAGCAGAGUGACAAAUGUGAUCCGGGAGAGAAAAUCAAAGGGCCAGGGGCACACGGGCAGGAUGCGCAAUCCUGGUUCGGAGCCAAGAGCUUCAGAACUGUAGGGCAGUGGGGAGCUCAGGGAGGUUGAGGAGCAGAGGGUGUGGCAAUCUCACGUAUGCCAUCACAAGAUCCAAUUACCAUAACCUCCAUCGGAUACCUACCUCCCUUUAGCCUCUAGAGUUCCUGGGGCGGAGAUCUCACAUCUUUGCCGGGUCAGUAUUGUGGAAACUUGCUUGCUUCCAACUUACCACCCCCAACACAUGCUUGUUUAGUGGUCAGAUUCUGAGGGCCUCAAGCUAAGAUACCUUACCUUGGUCCUGGUCACAUGCAGGGCUCCACAUCCUCCACAGGGUCUGGGCUCCAAAGAUCUCUGCAGCUUGGGUGGCCAUGACCCCUCCACCUGGCACAUCAGCAGCCCUUCUGGAGACAGAAAUCAUGGAGUUUGGUAUUCUCUCCUUAAUCCAACAUGGGAAAUAUAUGGACCUCACUACAUGACAAUAGAGACACCCAGGAAACAUCGUGACCUCUGUGUGUCUCUCCUCCUUGAAAAGCAAGACUUUGCAGAUGCCAUUAGUGAGGAUGAGGACAGUCCACUGGAUAGAUGAAUGGGAGCUCUGCCACUGUUUCUUCUUUUGCUACUCUGUUUCAGCAGGGGCCUCUGGCCUCAUUUGUGUUCCCUGGGGACCACAGCUAUGGCACCAGAGCCGAAGUUAUCCUGAGUUCACCUCAGCUGAUCUGUAGGCAGCAACUUUAAGGAAGACACGUGUAGAGUGGCAAGUGGAAGGCAGGGUACUGCUGAGUCUGAGCUCUCCGAAAGAGUAGCCAUAGAAGACCAAAUUGCAUAAAUGAACCCCCUGGACAAGGACACCACUCUCCUGGAAAAAGGGUCUCAAUGUGAAAACCAACACACAAACAAGAUACUCUCAAGUAUUGCUCAGAACUGGGACCCGAGAAACACUGCAGGACUGGGAAGCAGACUGCUAUAAAUUGGCAUCAGGGAAAGUAUAUAUGUAUGGCUGACACUGGACCUGACCUUGGAACGGGAAGGAGCCAGCGAGGCAAAGAUCUGGAGAGCCUGGGCAAAGGUUCCACAGGUGCAAAGGUCCUGAGACUGCAGUCCACACACCUUCCAGAGCUCCCGAUCAGUACAGUCGGAAUUGCAGGCGUUACUUCAUUAAGACAAAGGAAACCACUUUCAGUCUUCUGUGACUUCCUCACUGCCUCCAAAUCCUCCAAGCUACUAUGAUUUUUUUUUCUUUCAGGAAAUUCUUCAAGGUUUAGUAAUCAGUGGUUUAUAAAAAAAAACCUGGCCUGUGA